rnacentral:rRNA from 1 species
UACGGAGGGGGCAAGCGUUAUUCGGAAUCAUUGGGCGUAAAGGGCGCGUAGGCGGCUUCAUAAGUCUUGGGUGAAAGCCCUCGGCUCAACCGAGGAAUUGCCUUUGAUACUGGGAAGCUCGAGUCCGGAAGAGGUGAGUGGAACUCCGAGUGUAGAGGUGAAAUUCGUAGAUAUUCGGAAGAACACCAGUGGCGAAGGCGGCUCACUGGUCCGGUACUGACGCUGAGGUGCGAAAGCGUGGGGAGCAAACAGG